AAGAAAAGAAAAGAAAAGAAAAGAAAAGAAAAGAAAAGAAAAGAAAAGAAAAGAAAAGAAAAGAAAAGAAAAGAAAAGAAAAGGAAAGGAAAGGAAAGGAAAGGAAAGAAAAGAAAAGAAAAGAAAAGAAAAGAAAAGAAAAGAAAAGAAAAGAAAAGAAAAGAAAAGAAAAGAAAAGAGAAAAGAAAAGAGAAAAGAAAAGAAAAGAAAAGAAAAGAAAAGAAAAGAAAAGAAAAGAAAAGAAAAGAAAAGAAAAGAAAAGAAAAGAAAAGAAAAGAAAAGAAAAAAGAAAAGAAGAGUAAGACAAGUCAAGGCAAAAAAAUAAAAAGUAAAUUAAAAUAAACAUAGGAAGUUUCCACAUGAAACACCUCCUGGAUUAGUCCAUGAGUGAUUAUCUUUUUCUGUUCUUCCUUUUCCUCAUACAAAUCCCUGCCAGGUUCUUCUGCUUUGAUGCUCACAGAAAAUCAUACAACCACUGACGAGAAGACAGAGUUACAACCAGGGAGCUAAUUUUAUCCAUUAAACUGAAGUAUGGUGAUGGGGAAUUUCUUAGAACCAUGCACAAUACAACCACAGCAAUGCUAAUGACAAACCCUCACACUGAAAAAUUCACCCUCUGCAUCCUCUGACAAGAGGGGAAACCCUGUCUCACACACACUUUGCCAGGGAAAUUUUACCAUUGCUUGCAACGGCAGGAUUUCAGCCAGCAAUUAUGAGAUUAUUUCAACAUCAGCAGCAGUAGGGCUUCAUCCUGUAUUCAGAUCACACAGCGACAACUUUGUACUUGUCUUUAUAUGUGAAGGCUGUUCUGGGAAAAAAACUGAUACUCACAGAUGAGAUGGGGGAAAAUUGUAGCAGUAUAUUUCUCCUUAUAGUAGAAUUUCCACAGAGAUUAAGUUAAAAGAACUGCUGCACAGGAAAAACUAAAUUUGACUUGAAAUAUUUAAAUUUUAAUAUGACGGCUGCAACCUGAGGAAUGCAACAGGCAUCUUAGCUCUACAAGCUGCCUUUUUCUGAAGACCAUGUAGGCACAAGGCAUAACCCCUACAGCUGUCAGAUUUUCUCCUGAAGAAGGAGCAGCCUGGGACUACUCCUCAUGAAAAAUCACAAGAGGGAAGGGUCAUUACUGCAGCACAUUUCAGUGAAGACCAAAGGAAGAAGAUGGAGGGUGAUAUUAAAAUGAUUCAUCUGGUGCCUGCAGAUGUCUCUCCCAGAAGACGACAAAGGCAAAAUAGAAUAAUAGCAAAAUUCUGCUGUGCUAUACUCAAUCUAAAACUACCUAUUACUGCCAAUCUAAAACUACUAUUACUACCAUUUCUUGUCCAUUUCUUUGUACCUAAAGAGAAACAAACAAACAAACAAACAAACAAACAAACAAAGAAAAACACAAAAGCACAAAAUUAUACGAACCUAAUUUCAGAACUUAUAGAAUUUAAAGUACAUCUAUACUUAGAUAAGUAGUCUUUCCAAAGAACCUAAAGAUUUUAUGUCUGAAUCCUAGUGGUAUUCACUCUAAAAAUCUUCAUCUGUGAAACUCACCAUUGGACUCAGUCCAGCAUAUGACAUCAUAACAUGGCUUUUAUGCUUCAAGAACAACCAAGAGAAGAAACUUCCCUUCCCUUUUUAUAUAGUCAUGUAUUUAUUAGACAUUUUGUCUGGUGGUAGGGAAUUCAGGAUCAGUUUUUUCCAAGAGAACAUGUUCCAAGAGAACAUGCUACUCAUAAGGCUAUAGAUUUUUCUCCAGUACGCCUUUUAUUUGAGUGCCAAAAAUUCCUGGACUGCUUCACAGAAACAAUAUAAACAUAUUUUAUUGACCAAAAUAUUGUUUACAAAUACUUUCAACUCUUCUGCCUUAUAGAGACUGACACAAAGCUUUUUGAAAUGCACUUAUACCCUUCCAUUGAUUUAGAUGACCUUUUGACCAGGUCCUUGGAGUAGCUUGAGGGGAGAAUUAAUCUGUGAUCAAAACAGAUAAAAUCCUAAGGGUUUCUAAAGCUACAUACUGCCAUCUCAAAUAGAAACUCAUUCUUCUGCUUUCAGGGAAGAAUGCAGUACAAAAAUAUGUGUUAGUGAACCAAGGCUGAGACCUGCAAGUGGUGCUAGUACAGCAGCUUUUGUUGUUACUUUAUUUUACUUUAUUUUCCUUUCUCUGGUUUUGAAGUAUCCAAAAAGAGACAAAUUAGAGCAUUUGUUUUCAGCAAGGAGUAUUUUUAACUGUUUACCAGCUCAUGGUUACUUCAUCUGUUCUUGCCUGUGUGACAAAUAAGAAAGGAUAACAUUUUUCAGAAUCACUUUGCAAAUAAUAUGUCAGAACCAUACCCACUCAUCUGAGAAUUGCAAAUUUUUUAAUCUGACUCUUCUCUUAUUUGUGUUAAACUCACACUCAUAAGGUGUCAAUUCCUUCAUUAAACUCAUUUUCAGAUUUGCCAUGAACAAAUAACACCUUCCUGUUCUCCUGCCCUCUGAAACCUUUGUUCUGCUUCCAGAAUAAACAACACAAAAAUCAAUAGCUAAUAUAUGUAAUUACUGGGAAAAGCAGUUAGCAGCAGAACCAUGACAAGGUCAUUCUCUCAGUCUCAGGCUACCAAACAUACAAAAACGCUUGCCAACACUGGGGACAAGAAAUAGCCUUGGAUUCUGCCAGUCAGCUGUCCUACUUGGCCACAGUGUAUAUGUCAACACACAAAGCACAUUCUGGGGUAUAAACGCACACACAUGCAUAUGUGUGGAUGUAUCCCAACCUGAGUUUUGCCACUGCACUAAUUUACUGCUCAUUAGAGCUGUAGACCUUCCAGAUGAUAAAAUGUAAUGUUGAAAACUCUUAUAAACUCUUAUAUUUGAACAUAAUAGUUCUUUUAAAAUAUAUCUUAAGAUGGAAAAUGGAAUUUUCUGAAUAUAUCACAAUUAAGAUUUAGAGAUAUGUAGGUUCAGAUCCUCAAAAAAACUCUUAGCCCGCAUUUGUAACGGUCUACGUUGCUCAAAGUGGAUAUAUGUAGAAAUGUUGACAUCUUGACAACACUGAGAUGACUGACUUCUUUCUGUCCUGCAAGCCUUAGUGUGUAGCAGGUACAUAUACUUCCUCCAUAAGCCUCAAUUUGGGAUCAGAGUCCAUAUAGUGAAACAAAGACAGGUUGGUUGUACUAUAUGGACUGGGUGUGUUUUUCUUUUCCUCUUUGUGUAGCAGAUGAAUAAUCUAUGGAAGACCCUAGUUAAGUCUUCUUUACAAAUGAGGAUCCACUGUCCUAAUUCACAAAAAACCCCAGCAGUGUCCCAUUUCCUGUAAGACUUCUGUAAGCAGUGGUCCAUGUAGUUAAUGUCUCCUGUCCUUCCCUUUGUAGUCCAGUUCAUAAUUAAGAAGCAAUGAAAAUGAGAGGAAGCAAAUCUUAGAUAGAAGUGGCUAGAACAUUUCCAUAACACAAAGAUUCAAGCCAUCUAGACAUCCAGAAAGGCACUUGAAACCAACUCAAGUUUGAGUAGAACAUGAGGUUCUUCUUGGCUGUGCCAUGAUAGACAGUCUUGGGUAUGGUUGCUGUGCAUUUUUUUUGCACAUAUAUCCAAACCAUGUCACUUGUGAUGUGGAACUAUCCAGAUAAAAUCUAGUUAAUCUAGUUUCAAUCUAGAUGGUUUUUAACCAUUUCAGUGUAAGAGCAAAAGCAAAACAACAAUCCAUUUCCUCAACUGGGCUUAUAAAUUUGCCAUAAUUUCAUUAAAAUUUAGUUAUGCAACCCUAGAUCAAAAUGGUCUUACAGCUGAAUGCUGAAAAUUACAACCAUGAUGAAAUGAGUCUACCUGCAAAAGAUCAUGAAGAUGGAGCUCAUGGAUGGGUAAUUACAAGAGGUAUUUCACCUUUUAAAGAAAAAUUUCAAGUUCCCUUCUUAUAUUUUGAACAUCAGUGCUCUAUCAUCCAGUCUCCACAGCCAAACAAGCAUGGAAUGUUUCUUUAAUCCCUGGGAUAAAAUGACAGCAGAAUAGCUUCUUGAUUAGAACGAUGGAAUGGAAUCUGGGACCCUUUGCUUCACAAGAAUCCUCCCCUGAACCCUUGGACAAACUCAUUCCCACAUUGGUUGCAAUUUUUUCUUUUCUAAGAAUAAAAUAGUAUUUACUUGGUUUACAGGAACAUUUCUUGUACUUGUAUUUAGAGACUGUACGGCUUUCAAAGAGCCCUGGGUGCAUAUUACAUGCCAUAGGUAAAAAGCAGGAGUUCUUCUCUGUGCCAGGAGCAAAUACUUCCAGCAGAAGAAGAUUUAGAACAACAGAUGAACAUCUCUGUGAGCAUUUCCAAAAUUGUAUUUUUAAUUAAUGUCUUUCAUCUCAGCUGACAAGAUAAUUCAUCAUCAUUAAAAAGAUAACCCAGGUUAGGGAGAUUUGUUCUGUAAUGUAUCUGUGAAAUAAAUAUUUAGAUGGCCUCUAUAUAUACAGCAAGGUUUUCGAUGCUUAUGAGAGAAAUGCCUCCACUGAACACAAAUAGUGACAAUGACACACUCAUGUUUUCUCUGGGUAAAAAAGAAAUUUAACCAAAUAAACUACAGGUCAGAUACUCAGCUGUAGAAUUUUGAGAAUGCCAAGAGUAACUGACUGUCAUGAAUGGUCACGUAAGUAUAAGUACUUCAUGGAAGCGUGUGUAUUUCUCUAGGAAUUGUAGUAAAUAUUCGUGAUACUGGCUAAUAGGUAUAAGUAGUUGAUUAUCAGAAUAAGUUUAUAGAAAAAAUAAGUCUCUGUGCAUAAGAUUUACCUGCUACUGGCUUUGUAGCUAAGACAGUUAUAAAAGCAACCUAUUGACACAGUCUUUUUGGAGCUCCAGAACUGGAAUGACAGCAUCUACAGAUGCUCUACCCAUGCCAGGUUCACUUUAUAACUAAUGCAGAGAAAUAUGCAUUUUUAAGGUGUAAUUCAUCUGUCUUGUUUAAAACAGACUCCUUAGUAUGUAAUGCAUCAUACCUUUGACGUCAUUGGCAGUACUAAAAAAAAUUCCUUAACUCUAAAGUAUGUUCAUGGUGACUGACUUAGACAAAUUGAGCCCAAGAAGCCUAAUAUGGUGGAAUCAUUAUGGUUUCCAUUACAAUUUUUUUGCAAAUGCUUGCUGCAUACAUAUAGGUAAUUUUAUUUUUUGAGAGUUAAGACCAUUAAAAUUAAUUAUCUUUCUAAGGGUCUGGGAACCUUGACUUCUCAAUGAAGGACAGACAGGUUUUUGAGCAUGACAAUGAUAUUUUAAAUAGGUGUGUUUUGAUAAUAUUUGGUUUAAUUUAUCUGAGUAUCAGAUGCUCCAUAUGUAAAACGUGAAUUACAAUAUUAAUCUUGUUAUUACCUGGGUUGUCUUUAUUCAUUCAGAUUUAUAAAAUGUUUAAUAAACUCAAAAGGAUACAAUGCCAAACAUUAUUACCUAGUUAUUUCUCUUUAUUACUGUCACCUAUUCAUAGGCAUUUUCAGCUCUGUCUGAAUUUUGACCCCUGUUCAUCUCUCCUUUCUAACUAAAUAGGAUAUUUAACUGUAUGUCACUGUGUCUUGAACUCCCUGAAUUUUUGCGUCAGUACAUUUGUGAUUCAGAGCAUAUCCCACAACACCCUUUUCCACAUUGAAUUGGAUGUGCCUUCCUUAUGCUAUUAAAGAUUCAGCAUCACAAGCUAUCAUUAUAUUAAUUUUAAGACACUUUUUUUAUCAACAGAUGAACAAUCAUGAUGAUUAAAAAUGCUUCUCCUCUCAAGGGCUUGUACAGUAUUUUGCAUUCUCUGGCAUGUUUAUUAGUUAUGUUGAUUGAAAAUGAGUGAAAAACAGAGACAACUUAUUAGCCAGUUUAGUUAGCUGCUACUUACAUUAAUGAAAAUGUCUGGAUACAUGCCCAUUAAGAAUACUUGGGAGAUCAGAGGUUGAAAAGCUGUUCCUUUGCUUCUCACUGCUGAC